rnacentral:rRNA from 1 species
UAGGUGACAAGCGUUGUCCGGAUUUACUGGGUGUAAAGGGCGCGUAGGCGGACUGUCAAGUCAGUCGUGAAAUACCGGAGCUUAACUCCGGAGCUGCGAUUGAAACUGACAGCCUUGAGUAACGGAGAGGAAAGCGGAAUUCCUAGUGUAGCGGUGAAAUGCGUAGAUAUUAGGGGGAACACCAGUGGCGAAGGCCGCUUUCUGGACGACAACUGACGCUGAGGCGCGAAAGUGUGGGGAGCAAA